rnacentral:rRNA from 1 species
GAUGAACGCUAGCUACAGGCUUAACACAUGCAAGUCGGGGGGUAACGAGAGGAAAGCUUGCUUUCCUUGUCGACGACCGGCGCACGGGUGAGUAACGCGUAUCCAACCUGCCCCCAACUAGGGAAUAACCUUGCGAAAGUAAGACUAAUACUCUAUAAUUUCCUCAGAUGACAUCUGACGAGGAAUAAAGAUUUAUAGGCUGGGGAUGGGGAUGCGUCUGAUUAGCUUGUUGGCGGGGUAACGGGCGACCAAGGCAACGAUCAGUAGGGGUUCUGAGAGGAAGGUCCCCCACAUUGGAACUGAGACACGGUCCAAACUCCUACGGGAGGCAGCAGUGAGGAAUAUUGGUCAAUGGGCGGAAGCCUGAACCAGCCAAGUAGCGUGCAGGAUGGCGGCCCUAUGGGUUGUAAACUGCUUUUAUACAGGAAUAAAGUUAGCCACGUGUGGUUAUUUGUAGGUACUGUAUGAAUAAGGACCGGCUAAUUCCGUGCCAGCCGCCGCGGUAA